UGCUGUGUCUGUUAAUAUGGUUCAAGCCAACGAAGCACCGGUAAAUAGCUGCGGGUAACUAUGACUCUUAUCAAAGUAGCGAAAUACCUCGUCACUUAAUUAGUGACCUGCAUGAACGGAGCUAUGAGGUUCUCACUGUCCCAAACUGUCUCUCAGCGAACCAACUGUAGUGGGAACGGUCACUAGAUAUCCAGCGGGGAAAGAAGACCCUGUAGAGCUUCACUUUGGUCUAGUCUUGUAUAGUUCCUGCGGGGGUGUAGACUAGGUGGGAGAGCAAUCGAUUCUGAAAAACCACUACCCUGUUUGGAAUUAUGCUUACCUAUCACAAGGAAUAGGACUAGAUAGAAAGUUUGGCUGGGGCGGCACACCUUCGAAAGAGCAGCGAAGGUGUCCUAAGUUGAGCUCAGUGAGGACAGAAAUCUCACGUUGAGGAUAAGGCCAAAAGCUCAAUUUACUGUGCCUUUUUGUACUAGGAUCAGUUACGAAAGUAAGGCCUAACGAUCCCUAAAUAGCCUCAGGUGCGUGAGGAUUGGGGUGACAGACAAGUUACCUCCGGGACAACUGGCUUGUGGCUGCUAAGAGAUCAAAUCAACGCAGCUUUUUGAUUCUUCGAUGUCGGCUCUUCCUAUCCUAGUGAUGUACAAGUUGCUAAGGGUCGGAUUGUUCACCCGUAUUAGGGAUCGUGAGCUGGGUUUAGACCGUCGUGAGCCAGGUUUGUUUUAUCCUACUGGAUAUAGCAUCAUGAUAGUAGAUUGAUUUAGUACGAGAGGAACUGUUGAUUAUGGCCUCUGGUUAGCGAUUAUCGGAAACGGUAUGUCGCGCAGCUACGCCGUCUGGGAUAAUGGCUGAAAGCCUCUUAAGCCAGAAGCCCAUCUAGAAAGUGAUGCACGUGAUGUUGGACCGAUACGAAUAAUCAUACUCAAA
rnacentral:ncRNA from 1 species